UUCCGGGGUCCGCAGGAGACUGAAACGUCAUUGCGCACACGGCGGCGGCGGCCGCGACAAGCCGGAAGGAGGCGGGGCGUGGUCGCUGGGUUGGUGCUUGUGGCGGCUACUAAACAAUGGAAAGGAACAAGCCACUAAUACCUGGAACAACAUGAAUGAACCUCAAAACAUUAAGCUGAGUGAAAGAAGCCUUGCACACAAAAAAGGUUUCCUUGUUGGAGUGUUGGGUUCACUAUGCCUGGCCAGCCCUAGGAGGCUGCUCUCCUUCACUAUUGCUAAAUUUCCCACCUGCUUACCAUGGAAAAAGAACUGCAACCUGACCCCCACGCCAGCUGGUGGCAGUCUUAGACACUGACGAGCAGCAAAAUCCCAUGAGACCUCAACUGAUCUGUACCAUAAUCUUAAUCAUCUUCUGGAAUUUGCCUCAUCUAUAUGGCUCCUUGUUCCCCUACCAGGGAUCGAACCCCAGCCCUCAGCAGCGAGAGCGUGGAGCCUUAACCACUGGACCACCAGGGAAUUCCCGAGAGUAAAUCUUGAAAGUCCUCAUCACGAGAAGAAAAAAUUGUAACUAUGUAUGGUGAGAGAUGUUAACUAGACUUUUAUGGUGGUGAUCAUUUCGUAAUACAUACAACUAUCAAAUCAUUAUGUUGUACACCUGAAACUAGCAUAAUGUUAUAUGUCAAUUAUACCUCAAUAUAAAAGAAAAAUUGCA